rnacentral:tRNA from 1 species
GCUCGCGUAGCCCAAACGGGAGAGGCGACGGUUUCAAAAACCGCUUAUGUGCAAGUUCAAAUCUUGCCGCGAGUA